CACAGGAGAGCAGAGCAGAAUCCUUGGAGAGUAUCUUCUUCUUCCAUAGUAACCCACUCCACCCUUUGCCAAGAUGUACAACGCUCCGUCGGGGCAGGAGAUGUCCUACACGGACCACGUGCAGAAGCGCCACGAGGAGAAGGGCUGCAUCUAUGCAUGCGUGUUCACGGCGUUGUGCUGCUUCUGCUGCUACGAGACCUGCGAGUGCUGCCUCGACUGCCUCUGCUGCUGCUGCAACUAAAACAGCCAUGGCCGCCAUGGACGGACGGAGGCUGCAAGGCGGAGCGGAUAUCCACCGGCCUCCGCCGCCUUUCAUAAUAAGCAUAUGUGUCUAGUGCCUUAGCUCGAUGAGAACUGUAUCAGAUGUUUCUGUAUUAUUAUUGUCCAGGACAAGACUAUCAUUGUAAUCACCGAUUAUGGUUUGUGUUGCAUCUUUUUUUUUGCCGGGGGUUUGUGUUGCA